CUAUAUAUUAUAUAAAACACCAGUUUAACGGUAAAAUUUUAGCGCCAAAUUUUAUCUCUCCCACGUUCUCACUAACUAUUACUCCAUUAAUCACGAUUCAAUUCUUCUUCCAAAAAUUCUCAUUAUCUGAAAUCAUUUUCCUCAAUUCUCUUCUCUCUAUAACCGCUCUUCGCUGCUCCAUCGCUCACCAAACUCAAUCGAACACUAGGCCGCCAUUUCUCAGUCACUAACCGCCGCCCUAGCGCCGCCGCCUCAGCCCAACGUCGCCCAAAACGAUUCCAUAACCGCUGCUCGCCGUUCCAUCGCUCACCAAAUUCAAUCGAAGACUCGGCCGCCAUUUCUCGAUCCUCAACUGCCGCCGUAGCGCGGUCGCCUCAAACCAACAUCACCCGAAACGGUAAAAACAAAAGUAAUCAGUUUCUUCCUCUCUCUCUCUUUCUAUUCUAUCAAUCAAUACAUUGAGGGCCAUUGUAUCGAAAAUUUUAAAGCAGUGUUUCUAAAAGUGCAGGUACUAAUUUCAAUUUCAAUUUUUUAUGGGUUAAUUAAAAUUGGAAUUGAAAUUUUGAAAUUGGGUUUUUGAAACCAAGAUUGGAUUUUGGUUUGAAAACAACAGUGGAACAUUUAUCAUCUUAAAAUACUGCAACGUAGAACUCUUGGGCCAAUGCAGCCCUCCACGUGCAGCGGAUUCGCCGUUUGGAAGGGUGCCGCAUUUUGGUGUAUUUCUGUGCACCAGCGGCAGCUAUGGUUCGAGGGUUAUAAUAUCUCUUUUAUUUCAGUGCUCUUUUUAGAAGUGUUUCACUCUUUACACUGAAUUGUUGGAUUUAUGUUUUAAUGAUUUUUUAGAGCAUAAAGUUGAAAAAUUGUGCUUUAUGUGUGUAUUCUACUCCUUGAAAUGAUUGAGGAAGUGUCCAUAUGUCCCUCUAAUGAUUGAUUCUUAUGUGCUUAUAGUUUGUAAUUAUUGGCAAUAAAAUUCAGCAAUUUGAAUAUAAGCAGUUUUAAUAUUAUUUGAUGUGUGGUUUUCACUCUAUUGAUCUCAAUAUUAUCUGAGUGACCAUUGAGUUAUCGUCAUCUAGCAUUCAUGUUCUCUGAGUGAUUUUUUAGUAUACUCCAAAUAUUUUUUAUUUAUAUUCUCUUUGAUGAAAUCUUUAUGCAAUUAUCCAAAUCAUUUUGAUUUAUGUCUUUUUUUGCUUAAUUUUCUUAUAGUUAUUGCAUUUGCUUCAGAUGUGCUUGAAUGAGUAUGUUCAUGGGUUGUCAUUAGAGUCAUUGAGAUUCUAAGAAUCACUGUCUGGAAAGGUUAUCAAUUUACUUUGUCGUCUUCUUUUUACGGGUUGUCAUCAGAGGCCUUGAGUUCUUUUCUCAUACAUUUAUGUUGUUGUUUUACUCAACUAGAAAUUGCCUACAUCUUGAUGAGGCCCCAUUUGGAUCCAUAUAAUAUUGGAUGGAAGGUAGAUUUAUGUUUAAUUGUGGAUUUCUUUGAUUAUCAAUAAGCUUCUUCACAUGUUUUCCUUGCAACUUGAGAAGAGGGCUUAUUUUGUAAAGUUAAUUACUUUGAAUUGGAAUUGUGAAUUUAACAGGAUGUUGUUUCUUUCUAAUCUUAUUGCAAUAAUAAUUUUUUGCUGUAUUUUCAUUUUCUAUCUUAAAUGCUGAGGACCUCCACUGGUUUGUGCCAUUAAUGGGUUUCUGGUGUUGAAUCUUUUCUGUUAUCUACUCUCUCUCUCUCUCUCAUGGAGUGUGACUGUAAUCUCAGGUUGGUUUAAAGGAUAAAUUUUCUGGGCUUGAGGCUUAAUAAAAAAAAGAUGUUUUUUGUAAUGUAUUGUAUUAGUAUUUGUGAAAUUGGCAUUUGCUGAAGAUAUUGUGAAUGAACAGAGUCCAGAUGGUGAUAUCAUUGACUGUGUGCCCAUCUCUCAUCAGCCAGCCUUUGAUCACCCAUUUCUCAAAGACCACAAAAUUCAGACAAGGCCUAGCUAUCAUCCAGAAGGGCUCUUUGAUGACAACAAGGUGUCCAAUUCCAAAGGCCCUAAAGAGAGAAGCAAUCCUAUGUCUCAGCUGUGGCAUAUGAAUGGCAAAUGCUCCGAGGGUUCGAUCCCGAUUAGAAGAACAAAGAAAGAAGAUGUGUUGAGGGCUAGCUCUGUUAAGAGAUAUGGCAAGAAAAAGCACAGAAGCAUUCCCAAGCCCAGGUCUGCUGAUCCUGACCUCAUCAACCAAAGUGGUCAUCAGGUAGCCCAUAAAGAUGCAAUCUUUGAUGGAUUUUGAUGGAAAGUAAUCUGUUGUGUGUUUUGAUGGACUGUGUUGUGUGAAUUUUGUAAUCAGCAUGCCAUAGCCUAUGUUGAAGGAGACAAGUAUUACGGUGCGAAAGCAACUAUCAAUGUGUGGGAAGAUUAUAAUUAAUGUUUAAAAUUUUCAAUUGUUGUA